AUGGAUAAUGCCAGCUAUGCUUAUAACCAACACAAAUAUAACAUUGCAAUGAAUGAUCUAAAAAAUCAGAGUGAGGAAGCUUGGAAGUGGCUGAGUGGAAUACCAAAACACACAUGGGCCAGACAUGCUUUUGACACUAACUGCAAGACAGAUUUGGUUGUUAACAACCUGUCAGAGGUGUUCAACAAGUACAUCUUAGAUUCCAGGAAAAAACCUAUUGGGACAAUGGUUGAUGGUAUUAAGGACAAGCAAAUGGUGAGGUGGCAUAGGAAUAGAGAGAGAGGAAAAGCAGCUAUGUGGGAGAUCACACCUCAUUAUGCUGAAAAGCUGGAGGUGGAAAAGGAAAGGGCCAGAUUUUGCAAACCAAUUCAAGUUGGUGUUAAUAUAUGGCAAGUGACCAGUGGGCAGCAAACUCAUCCAGUUAACCUGGAAUAG
rnacentral:rRNA from 1 species